rnacentral:rRNA from 1 species
CCUGUUUAUCAAAAACAUAGCCUUUAGCAAUUAAGAGUAUUAAAGGUGCCGCCUGCCCAGUGACAUGUUAAACGGCCGCGGGAUCCUCCACCGUGCAAAGGUAGCAUAAUCAUUUGUCCCCUAAAUAGGGACUAGUAUGAAUGGCCCAAUGAAGAUUUACCUGUCUCUUGUAGCCAAUCUAUGAAACUGAUCUUCCAGUACAAAAGCUGGAAUAAUAACACAAGACGAAAAGACCCUGUGGAACUUUUAAACCGCAACCAAUACACAUGGCCACGCCGCUUUUAGUUGGGGCAACUUUGGAAAAAAACACAACUUCCAAUCAAGGAGGUCUAAAAUAUACCUUAGGCCAACACGCCCAUUUUUCCUCCACAUGACCCAGUACAACUGAUUAAAGAAACAAGCUACCCCAGGGAUAACAGCGCCAUCCCCUCUUAGAGCCCAAAUCGACGAGCGGGGCUUACGACCUCGAUGUUGGAUCAGGGCUCCCCAGCAGUGCAGCAGCUGCUAACGGUUUGUUUGUUCAACAAUUAAUGCCCUACGUGAUCUGAGUUAGAACCGG